rnacentral:rRNA from 1 species
UGGCGGCGUGCCUAAUACAUGCAAGUCGAACGGUCUUUCUAUGGAAGCUUGCUUCCACUGAGAAGAUAGUGGCGAACGGGUGAGUAACACGUGGGUAACCCUGCCCAUAAGAGGGGGGAUAACAUCCGGAAACGGGUGCUAAUACCGCAUAGUUUUCUUGAUCGCAUGAUCGGGAAGGAAAGACGGCCUUUGUGCUGUCGCUUAUGGAUGGACCCGCGGCGUAUUAGUUAGUUGGGGAGGUAACGGCUCACCAAGACGAUGAUACGUAGCCGACCUGAGAGGGUGAUCGGCCACAUUGGGACUGAGACACGGCCCAAACUCCUACGGGAGGCAGCAGUAGGGAAUCUUCCGCAAUGGACGAAAGUCUGACGGAGCAACGCCGCGUGAGUGAAAGAAGGUUUUUCGGAUCGUAAAACUCUGUUGUCAGAGAAGAACAAGUUGGAGAGUAACUGCUCCAGCCUUGACGGUAUCUGACCAGAAAGCCACGGCUAACUACGUGCCAGCCGCCGC